rnacentral:rRNA from 1 species
GAAUGCUGACAUAAGUAACGAUAAAGCGGGUGAAAAGCCCGCUCGCCGGAAGACCAAGGGUUCCUGUCCAACGUUAAUCGGGGCAGGGUGAGUCGACCCCUAAGGCGAGGCCGAAAGGCGUAGUCGAUGGGAAACGGGUUAAUAUUCCCGUACUUGGUGUUACUGCGAAGGGGGGACGGAGAAGGCUAUGUUGGCCGGGCGACGGUUGUCCCGGUUUAAGCGUGUAGGUGUGUGUUCCAGGUAAAUCCGGUUCACUUUAACACUGAGGCGUGACGACGAGGCACUACGGUGCUGAAGCAACAAAUGCCCUGCUUCCAGGAAAAGCCUCUAAGCAUCAGGUAACAUCAAAUCGUACCCCAAACCGACACAGGUGGUCAGGUAGAGAAUACCAAGGCGCUUGAGAGAACUCGGGUGAAGGAACUAGGCAAAAUGGUGCCGUAACUUCGGGAGAAGGCACGCUGACACGUAGGUGAAGUGAUUUACUCAUGGAGCUGAAGUCAGUCGAAGAUACCAGCUGGCUGCAACUGUUUAUUAAAAACACAGCACUGUGCAAACACGAAAGUGGACGUAUACGGUGUGACGCCUGCCCGGUGCCGGAAGGUUAAUUGAUGGGGUCAGCGCAAGCGAAGCUCCUGAUCGAAGCCCCGGUAAACGGCGGCCGUAACUAUAACGGUCCUAAGGUAGCGAAAUUCCUUGUCGGGUAAGUUCCGACCUGCACGAAUGGCGUAAUGAUGGCCAGGCUGUCUCCACCCGAGACUCAGUGAAAUUGAACUCGCUGUGAAGAUGCAGUGUACCCGCGGCAAGACGGAAAGACCCCGUGAACCUUUACUAUAGCUUGACACUGAACAUUGAGCCUUGAUGUGUAGGAUAGGUGGGAGGCUUUGAAGCGUGGACGCCAGUCUGCGUGGAGCCGGCCUUGAAAUACCACCCUUUAAUGUUUGAUGUUCUAACGUGGACCCGUGAUCCGGGUUGCGGACAGUGUCUGGUGGGUAGUUUGACUGGGGCGGUCUCCUCCUAAAGAGUAACGGAGGAGCACGAAGGUUGGCUAAUCCUGGUCGGACAUCAGGAGGUUAGUGCAAUGGCAUAAGCCAGCUUGACUGCGAGCGUGACGGCGCGAGCAGGUGCGAAAGCAGGUCAUAGUGAUCCGGUGGUUCUGAAUGGAAGGGCCAUCGCUCAACGGAUAAAAGGUACUCCGGGGAUAACAGGCUGAUACCGCCCAAGAGUUCAUAUCGACGGCGGUGUUUGGCACCUCGAUGUCGGCUCAUCACAUCCUGGGGCUGAAGUAGGUCCCAAGGGUAUGGCUGUUCGCCAUUUAAAGUGGUACGCGAGCUGGGUUUAGAACGUCGUGAGACAGUUCGGUCCCUAUCUGCCGUGGGCGCUGGAGAACUGAGGGGGGCUGCUCCUAGUACGAGAGGACCGGAGUGGACGCAUCACUGGUGUUCGGGUUGUCAUGCCAAUGGCACUGCCCGGUAGCUAAAUGCGGAAGAGAUAAGUGCUGAAAGCAUCUAAGCACGAAACUUGCCCCGA